UGAGCAAUCUGCCCUUGACCCUGGAAUAACAGCUGGAAACAGCUGCUAAUACCGGAUACGACCUCCGAUGGCAUCAUCUGGAGGUGGAAAGCUCCGACGGUCAAGGAUGGGCUCGCGGCCUAUCAGCUUGUUGGUGAGGUAACGGCUCACCAAGGCUUCGACGGGUAGCCGGCCUGAGGACGGGCCGACCCGGCCACACGUGGGACUGGAGACGUACCCGGCCCAGUACCCUCGGUAACCGGGGACGG
rnacentral:rRNA from 1 species